ensembl:snRNA U1 U1 spliceosomal RNA
AAACUUACCUGGCAGAGAAGAUACCAUGACCACAAACAUGGUUUUCCCAGGUGCCUCAUCCAUUGCACUCCAGAUGUGCUGACUCCUGCGAUUACCCCAAAUGCGGGAAACGCGACUGCAUAAUUUGUGGUAGUGGGCAACUGGGUUGGUGCUUUUCCCUA